rnacentral:rRNA from 1 species
AGCGAGCGCUGGCGGCAGGCUUAACACAUGCAAGUCGAACGGGCUUCUUCGGAAGUCAGUGGCAGACGGGUGAGUAACACGUGGGAACGUGCCCUUCGGUUCGGAAUAACUCAGGGAAACUUGAGCUAAUACCGGAUACGCCCUUUUGGGGAAAGGUUUACUGCCGAAGGAUCGGCCCGCGUCUGAUUAGCUUGUUGGUGGGGUAACGGCCUACCAAGGCGACGAUCAGUAGCUGGUCUGAGAGGAUGAUCAGCCACACUGGGACUGAGACACGGCCCAGACUCCUACGGGAGGCAGCAGUGGGGAAUAUUGGACAAUGGGCGCAAGCCUGAUCCAGCCAUGCCGCGUGAGUGAUGAAGGCCUUAGGGUUGUAAAGCUCUUUUGUCCGGGACGAUAAUGACGGUACCGGAAGAAUAAGCCCCGGCUAACUUCGUG